rnacentral:misc_RNA from 1 species
UCCGUGUUAACCACGGCAGUCUCUCUAGAGUGCCCAACUUAAUGCUGGCAACUAAAGAUAGGGGUUGCGCUCGUUGAGGGACUUAACCCGACAUGCCACCACACGAGCUGACGACAGCCAUGCAGCACCUGUCUCUUUGUCGUAUUGCUACGAAAGUUGCAUCUCUGCAAUUGUCAAAGGAUGUCAAACCUAGGUAAGGUUCUGCGCGUUGCUUCGAAUUAAACCACAUAAUCCACCGCUUGUGCGGGCUCCCGUCAAUUCCUUUGAGUUUUAGUCUUGCGACCGUACUUCCCAGGCGGGGUACUUAUUGCGUUAGCUCCGGUUCCGCAGGGGUCAACUCCCACGAAACCUAGUACCCAUCGUUUACAGCAUGGACUAC